rnacentral:tRNA from 1 species
GGGGAUUUAGCUCAGCGGCAUAAGCACCUGCCUUACAAGCAGGCAGUCGUGGGUUUCAUCCCUGGUACCCA